rnacentral:rRNA from 1 species
UUUUUACAAUGAAGAGUUUGAUCCUGGCUCAGGAUGAACGCUAGCUACAGGCUUAACACAUGCAAGUCGAGGGGCAGCAUGCAGGAAGCUUGCUUUCUGUGAUGGCGACCGGCGCACGGGUGCGUAACGCGUAUCCAAUCUACCCUGCACACGGGAAUAGCCCUGCGAAAGUAGGAUUAAUGCCCGAUGUUCUUUUUUUGUUGCAUGACAGAGAAAGCAAAGAUUUAUCGGUACAGGAUGAGGAUGCGUCCCAUUAGGCAGUAGGCGGGGUAACGGCCCACCUAACCUACGAUGGGUAGGGGUUCUGAGAGGAAGGUCCCCCACAUUGGAACUGAGACACGGUCCAAACUCCUACGGGAGGCAGCAGUGAGGAAUAUUGGUCAAUGGUCGCAAGACUGAACCAGCCAAGUAGCGUGCAGGAUGACGGCCUUACAGGUUGUAAACUGCUUUUAUGCGAGGGUAAAGUGUGCCACGUGUGGCAUAUUGCAAGUAUCGCAUGAAUAAGGACCGGCUAAUUCCGUGCCAGCAGCCGCGGUAAUACGGAAGGUCCGGGCGUUAUCCGGAUUUAUUGGGUUUAAAGGGAGCGUAGGCGGUAGGAUAAGUCAGCUGUGAAAUUGCGUCGCUCAACGUCGCGACUGCAGUUGAAACUGUUUUACUUGAGUGCGCACAGCGGCGCUGGAAUUCGUGGUGUAGCGGUGAAAUGCUUAGAUAUCACGAAGAACUCCGAUCGCGAAGGCAGGUGCCGGGGGCGCAACUGACGCUGAGGCUCGAAAGUGUGGGUAUCAAACAGGAUUAGAUACCCUGGUAGUCCACACAGUAAACGAUGGAUACUCGCGGUAUGCGAUAUACGGUAUGCCGCUGAGCGAAAGUAUUAAGUAUCCCACCUGGGGAGUACGCCGGCAACGGUGAAACUCAAAGGAAUUGACGGGGGCCCGCACAAGCGGAGGAACAUGUGGUUUAAUUCGAUGAUACGCGAGGAACCUUACCCGGGCUUGAACUGUGGUGGCCGUUGGGCAGAGACGCCUGAUUUCCUUCGGGACCGCCAUAGAGGUGCUGCAUGGUUGUCGUCAGCUCGUGCCGUGAGGUGUCGGCUUAAGUGCCAUAACGAGCGCAACCCUUUUCUGCGUUUGCCAUCAGGUUAUGCUGGGCACUCCGCAGAUACUGCCAUCGCAAGAUGUGAGGAAGGUGGGGAUGACGUCAAAUCAGCACGGCCCUUACGUCCGGGGCUACACACGUGUUACAAUGGAGGUUACAGAGGGCUGCUACCUGGUGACAGGACGCUAAUCCGUUAAAAUCCUCCUCAGUUCGGACUGGAGUCUGCAACCCGACUCCACGAAGCUGGAUUCGCUAGUAAUCGCGCAUCAGCCAUGGCGCGGUGAAUACGUUCCCGGGCCUUGUACACACCGCCCGUCAAGCCAUGAAAGCUGGGGGUGCCUGAAAGCUGUGACCGCAAGGAUCGGCCUAGGGUAAAACUGGUGAUUGGGGCUAAGUCGUAACAAGGUAGCCGUACCGGAAGGUGCGGCUGGAACACCUCCUUUCU